rnacentral:rRNA from 1 species
UACGGGGGGGGCAAGCGUUGUUCGGAAUUACUGGGCGUAAAGGGCUCGUAGGUGGCCAACUAAGUCAGACGUGAAAUCCCCAGGCUCAACCUGGGAACUGCGUCUGAUACUGGAUGGCUUGAAUCCGGGAGAGGGAUGCAGAAUUCCAGGUGUAGCGGUGAAAUGCGUAGAGAUCAGGAGGAACACCCAUGGCGAAGGCAGCUCUCUGGUCGACCUCUGACGCUGAGACGCGAAAGCGUGGGGAGCAAACAGG